rnacentral:other from 1 species
GAUGCCCUGCUGCGUACGUGAUUAGAGACACAGAAAGUCUUGAGCCAACACUCGCACAUCGGGAGCCGAUCUCUUGCAGGACGAUGCCAGGCGAUAAGUCUUGCAGGUAGGCACCCACUUUCGAUUUGAGGGUCAAGACCCUCUCAACACGGCGCGGCGGGGCAUUC